CCUACGGGAGGCAGCCGUAGGGAAUUUUUGGCAAUGGCAGGAAGUGAGACCGAGCAACACCGCGUGAGCGAAGAAGGGCUUCGGGUUGUAAAGGUGGAAGGUAAGGGAGGAAAAGAAUUGAGUGUGAAAGGUCACACAUGACGUANUCCNNGNNANCNCCCAUCUCC
rnacentral:rRNA from 1 species